GCCCGGGUGGUGGAAUCGGUAGACACAAAGGAUUUAAAAUCCUUCGGCCUUUGGCUGUACGAGUUCAAAUCUCGUCCCGGGUACCA
rnacentral:tRNA from 1 species